rnacentral:lncRNA from 1 species
AAAAGUUGAAGUGUAGCCUCAUCGAUCUUCAGUUACAAAUAAUCAUAAGAUGAAGCCAAUUUUGUUUACAAUCUUGUUGCUUUUGGUUCCCUCCUCAACACUUGCAGCUCGAGUAGCAGGGGAGCGUAAGAACUCUCAUCUUAAUCAUUUAUAGAAUGUAGUACAUACGUAAAGCAUCUUAAUUAUUCUUCAAAUUUGUGUUAUGUAGGAGGAGGUGAUUUUGGAUUAAAUC